GACGAACGCUGGCGGCGUGCUUAACACAUGCAAGUCGAACGGAAAGGCCCUGCUUUUGUGGGGUGCUCGAGUGGCGAACGGGUGAGUAACACGUGAGUAACCUGCCCUUGACUUUGGGAUAACUUCAGGAAACUGGGGCUAAUACCGGAUAGGAGCUCCUGCUGCAUGGCGGGGGUUGGAAAGUUUCGGCGGUUGGGGAUGGACUGGCGGCUUAUCAGCUUGUUGGUGGGGUAGUGGCUUACCAAGGCUUUGACGGGUAGCCGGCCUGAGAGGGUGACCGGCCACAUUGGGACUGAGAUACGGCCCAGACUCCUACGGGAGGCAGCAGUGGGGAAUAUUGCACAAUGGGCGGAAGCCUGAUGCAGCAACGCCGCGUGCGGGAUGACGGCCUGCGGGUUGUAAACCGCUUUCGCCUGUGACGAAGCGUGAGUGACGGUAAUGGAUAAAGAAGCACCGGCUAACUACGUG
rnacentral:rRNA from 1 species